AGUGAACGCUGGCGGUAGGCCUAACACAUGCAAGUCGAACGGCAGCACAGUAAGAGCUUGCUCUUACGGGUGGCGAGUGGCGGACGGGUGAGGAAUACAUCGGAAUCUACUCUUUCGUGGGGGAUAACGUAGGGAAACUUACGCUAAUACCGCAUACGACCUACGGGUGAAAGCAGGGGAUCUUCGGACCUUGCGCGAUUGAAUGAGCCGAUGUCGGAUUAGCUGGUUGGCGGGGUAAAGGCCCACCAAGGCGACGAUCCGUAGCUGGUCUGAGAGGAUGAUCAGCCACACUGGAACUGAGACACGGUCCAGACUCCUACGGGAGGCAGCAGUGGGGAAUAUUGGACAAUGGGCGCAAGCCUGAUCCAGCCAUACCGCGUGGGUGAAGAAGGCCUUCGGGUUGUAAAGCCCUUUUGUUGGGAAAGAAAAGCAGCAGGUUAAUACCCCGCUGUUCUGACGGUACCCAAAGAAUAAGCACCGGCUAACUUCGUG
rnacentral:rRNA from 1 species